AUCAGGCAUUUUCUUUGAGUUAAGGCUAUUGCAAAUCUAAAAAUAUUUAUCCAAAAUUAUAGAAUUGACUCAUAUUUAAAUGCAUAGAUAAAGCAAGAUUUGUCAAAUCGGAUUUACCUUGUAAUUAGUCUUUAAUUCUUAGAUUAGAGAUCCCUUAGAGCACUAAAAAAUAACUCCAAAAUGAUGGAAAUAUGUUGAGAUCAAUGGAGAUGCACCUAGAAUGAA
rnacentral:misc_RNA from 1 species